rnacentral:rRNA from 1 species
AUUGAACGCUGGCGGCAGGCCUAACACAUGCAAGUCGAGCGGAUGAAGGGAGCUUGCUCCUGGAUUCAGCGGCGGACGGGUGAGUAAUGCCUAGGAAUCUGCCUGGUAGUGGGGGAUAACGUCCGGAAACGGGCGCUAAUACCGCAUACGUCCUGAGGGAGAAAGUGGGGGAUCUUCGGACCUCACGCUAUCAGAUGAGCCUAGGUCGGAUUAGCUAGUUGGUGGGGUAAAGGCCUACCAAGGCGACGAUCCGUAACUGGUCUGAGAGGAUGAUCAGUCACACUGGAGCGUGGACACGGUCCAGACGACUAAGGGACGGAGCAGUCGGGAACGUGGGGCAGUGGGCGAGAGUAUGGUCCAGCCGUGCCGAGUGUGUGGAGAAGAUGUUCGGAUUGUAAAGAACGCCAUGUGGGGAGAAAGCGCUGUAAGUAAGGAAGUAGCUAUUUUGACGUUACCUGCAGAAGAAGCACCGGCUAACUUCGUG